AUACUACUCCCUCUGUUCGGAAUUACUCGUCGCGAAAAUGGAUGUAUCUAGACGUAUUUUAGUUCUAGAUACAUCCAUUUCCGAGACAAGUAAUUCCGAACGAAGGGAGUACAUG
rnacentral:pre_miRNA from 1 species